rfam:Triticum urartu cultivar G1812 contig5859, whole genome shotgun sequence.
GCCAUCCAGGAUGACGAGAUGAUCUCCUACAUCAUCCAUGGGCUGGACAUGGACUACCAGCCUCUUGUCUCGGCUCUCCACACCCACGUCACGCCCGUCUCCCUCGACGAACUCUUUGCCAUGCUCAGCAACUUCGAUC